rnacentral:rRNA from 1 species
GACGAACGCUGGCGGCGUGCCUAAUACAUGCAAGUCGAACGCUGAAACUUGGUGCUUGCACCGAGCGGAUGAGUUGCGAACGGGUGAGUAACGCGUAGGUAACCUGCCUGGUAGCGGGGGAUAACUAUUGGAAACGAUAGCUAAUACCGCAUAAGAGUAGAUGUUGCAUGACUUUUGCUUAAAAGACGCUAUUGCUCCCCUACCAGGUGGAAUUGCGUUGUCUUAGCUUGUUGGUGGGGUAAACGCCCACCAAGGCGACGGUAGAUAGCCGACCCGAGGGGGGGAGCCGCCACACUGGGACUGAGACACGGCCCAGACUCCUACGGGGAGCAGCAGGAGGGGAUCUUCGGCAAUUGACGGAAGGCUGACCGGGGAACGCCGCGGGAGGGGAUAAGGUUGUCGGGUCGGAAAGCUCUGUUGUAUGAGAAGGACGAGAGUGGGAAUGGAAAGUUCACACUGUGACGGUAGCUUACCAGAAAGGGACGGCUAACUACGUG